UUCAAUUACAUUUCUUACAAUAGUUACAAGUUGCAAGAAAUAGGUAAAGUGGUAUUCAUACAAAUAACAAUUGAUCAAUUCGAUACAAAUCAAAGCAACGGUAUGAUUCUUCACAAAAAAAAUUGGUCUCCCCAAAAGUAGAAAAGCGAGUCAGAAUCCAGAAUGUUAACAUUAGAAUCGUAAAUAUAAUGUACAUUAAUCCAUGCCAAAUGUGUACAAUAUACACAACCAAGAACGUAAGAAAACGACAAAUUGCGAUUAUUGUUGGCUAUGGGACUAGUAAGUGAGAAUCCCGAGAGCUUAUUCACUAUUCAGUACCUCAAUAUCCUCGAGAGUGGGUACAACUUGGCUACCAUUUUCCAGAACUAAUGUAAUCAAUAAUACAAAACAAUAUCAUGUUCAAGAAAAAAAAAAAAAAAAAA